rnacentral:sRNA from 1 species
UGUGAGCGUUAGGGAUGGAAGCGGCAUCCUUUUGCGAUACCUUGAAUUCUCUCUUAAGACGAAACUUCAAUCGCAAAAGAUAUAGCGGACAGCCCGACCGGAG